GACACAUUUACAGAACAGCCACCUCUGUGCCACAAUGCUACUGGGACGCAGAGGUGAAGAGGUGCCACCACCGUCAAGAGGCCUUGGAGAAAGACCAUGGCACAUUAAAGAAAUAAUCGGAGGCAGCACUGGAAAAAGGAGCAUCUGGAUGCAGUAAAGACCCAUCCCUUCCCGCACUGGAGCUGUUGGCUCAUCCCUGGAAAUCACAACAAUCAAGAAUGGAGAAUCGUUCUUUUCAUCCCUUCUCACAGCAUUAUCCCAGCAACCUCAUCCCCUAACAAUGGUGUGGUCUGUGUUAUGUUUUCCCUCCAUCACUGCCCCUCCCUGCUGCUGCACAACAGAGGUGCUGUGCCCCAGAGGCCGCUGAGGUUGCAGGCCUCUCAGCCUCUGAAACAAGGCUGUGAGCGUUUGGAUGCACCCUCAGAAGGAGCUGCAUAAAUAAUCAGAUGAAAAACACCAAACCUUAACUAAAAAUGAAUUUUUUUUCCUCCAUUUUUUCCUCCAUUAAACCAGCUAAAAGAUU
rnacentral:lncRNA from 1 species